AUGGCGGACGACGGCGGCAUCAUCGCGGCAUUGCCGGAGGACGUCCUCCUCCAGGUCCUCUCCCGCGUGGCCGACGUCAAGAGCCUCUUCAUGCUCGCCGCCACAUGCCGCCGCUGGCUCCGCCGCUUCACCGACCGCGCCUUCCUCCGCGACCUCUGGGGCGGCCAGCGCGCCGGCGACCUCCUCGGCUUCUUCUUCCACCUGCAGCGCAUCAAGGUCUCGACAUUCGGCUUCCUGCCGGUGCCGACCUCGCCGCUCCGCCCCCUCGCCUCCUCCGGCUCCUCCAACUCCGUCCAGCCACUGGCGGCGCGCCGCGGCGUCCUCCUGAUGCGGCUUCCCAUCACCCGCCUCCUCUUCCUCUCCAACCCCGUCACCGGCGAGCGCCACGUGGUCCCGCGCCUGGAGGAGUACUCCGACCUUGGUCCCUACAAGGUCACCAGCUACGCCAUCGUCGUCUCCGACGACCUCGCCGGGAAGCCGCAGCAGCCGGCAUCGUCAGGCCGCUUCACGUUCUCGCAGCUGCUCCAUCACCAUGUACGUCAACUCUACUCCGCCGCCGGCGGCUGGGCCGCGCCCGCCGAGUUCCUGGAUCUCCUCCGCUUCUCGCUGGCGGGCAGAUCGACGCCAUCCGCCGUCGUUCACCGCGGCGCGGCGCACUGGCUGUGCACCGACGACGUCGCGAGCGCCACCCGAGGCGACCGCCUGUACAAGCUCAGCGUGGAGGUGGGCGUGCCGGCCGCAGCCACGCCGCGCGUCUCCAUGACGAAUCUCCCCGUCCGCGCCGGCGGCGCGACGGCGACGCUGCUCUGCGUCGGCGGGGACGGCGAGCUCACCAUCGCCUGCGUGUUCCCCAUGCACGUCAGAAUCUGGAAGCAGCAGCGACGCGGCGAUGGCGAUGGCGACGGCGGCGACGAUGCGGCGGCGUGGCGCCGCGACGUGAUGUGGAUGACAUUGCCGGCGCCUUACCCAUACUGCGUGCCGCUGAUGCAUGGCUUGGACAUGGGAUCGGUGGCCAUGAUGUACAGGAGCAGCGGCGCCGUGUUCGUCGUCGACCUCGACAAGAAGGUGAUCGACAAGGCCAUGGACUGCUUCCUGCCCCUGCGAAUUGACCGCGAGAUGGAUCUGCCGCCUGUGCCGUACGAGAUGGACUUGGUGGAGUUCUUUCUGCUCCAGCUUGGUGACCUAUGUGGAGGAGGGUCUAAAUCUACAGGAUAAUUACACAGGU
rnacentral:lncRNA from 1 species